UACGGAGGGUGCAAGCGUUGUCCGGAUUUAUUGGGUUUAAAGGGUGCGUAGGCGGCCCGUUAAGUCCGGGGUGAAAGCCCACAGCUCAACUGUGGAACUGCCCUGGAUACUGGCGAGCUUGAGUCCAGACGAGGUUGGCGGAAUGGAUGCUGUAGUGGUGAAAUGCAUAGAUAGCAUCCAGAACCCCGAUUGCGUAGGCAGCUGACUAGGCUGGUACUGACACUGAGGCACGAAAGCGUGGGGAGCGAACAGG
rnacentral:rRNA from 1 species